GUAUGUAGCGUCAUUCAAUGAACAGAAGUGAGCUAAGUCUAAUCUAUAGAGUAUCUAUUGCACAUUAUUGAGUAAUCCUAACCUACAUAGAUAAGAUUCGUAGGCAUACCUUGUCGGAGUGACCGAAUGUUCGUAGAACUUCAAGUAUCUCUCUUUUUGUAGUUUUACAACUUCGCCUUCACUGAAGAUGAGGUUUGACAAAUCUGUCGUUG
rnacentral:lncRNA from 1 species